rnacentral:rRNA from 1 species
GGCAGUGCGGCGGUGCUAUACUGGCAGUCGAGCGAACGGAUUAAGAGCUUGCUCUUAUGAAGUUAGCGGCGGACGGGUGAGUAACACGUGGGUAACCUGCCCAUAAGACUGGGAUAACUCCGGGAAACCGGGGCUAAUACCGGAUAACAUUUUGAACCGCAUGGUUCAAAAUUGAAAGGCGGCUUCGGCUGUCACUUAUGGAUGGACCCGCGUCGCAUUAGCUAGUUGGUGAGGUAACGGCUCACCAAGGCAACGAUGCGUAGCCGACCUGAGAGGGUGAUCGGCCACACUGGGACUGAGACACGGCCCAGACUCCUACGGGAGGCAGCAGUAGGGAAUCUUCCGCAAUGGACGAAAGUCUGACGGAGCAACGCCGCGUGAGUGAUGAAGGCUUUCGGGU